GUUACAUCGUGGCAGGUGUGGGGGGUAUUACGGGGGAGGCGGGGGUUUUCGGGUUUUAUUGGGUGUAAAGGGUGCGUAGGUGGUUUGGUAAGUCAGUGGUGAAAGUUUGCAUCUUAACUGUAAAAUUGCCGUUGAAACUGCCGGUCUUGAGUGCAAAUGAGGUAGGCGGAAUGCGUUGUGUAGCGGUGAAAUGCUUAGAUAUGACGCAGAACUCCGAUUGCGAAGGCAGCUUACUGGGAUGCAACUGACACUGAGGCACGAAAGCGUGGGUAUCAAACAGGAUUAGAUACCCCAGUAGUC
rnacentral:rRNA from 1 species